rnacentral:rRNA from 1 species
UUCUUAAAGCAAAAUAAUUUUAAGUAAAAUCUGCUCAAUGCAAAUUGUAAAUAGCCGCAGAAUAUUCCACUGUGCUAAGGUAGCAUAAUCAUUAGUCUAAUAAUUGAAGACCAGAAUGAAAGAUUUAACAUUUUGAAAACUUUUUUGAGAAUUAUAAUUUUAAAUUAUACUAAACAUAAAAAUAUGUUUAUAAAUAAAAAAGACGACAAGACCCUAUCGAACUUAUACUUAAAGUUAAGCUGGGGAAGCUAGUUAAAAAAAAUUUUAACAUUACAUAUACAUAUAUACAAAAAACCAACAAAGUUGAAUAAUGAACAAGUUACCGUAGGGAUAACAGCGUAAUUUUUUUUUAAAGCUCUUAUAAAAAGAAAAGAUUGCGACCUCGAUGUUGAAUUAAUUAACUAUAAAAUGCAAAUGUUUUAAAAGUAAGUCUGUUCRACUUUUAAAAUAAUUACA